AUAUUACUUGGAGACUUACCGAGUUCUGCCGAGAUAACAACGUUGGUGGUGGCGGCGUAUGGCUCUUCGAGGUGGCGUCCUCUGCCCCACGUAUGGGCUCCCAAAUCCGCUCCCUUCCAACCGGAGCCGUCGGAACGCCGGCAUGCGACUCGUUUCGAGCACCACCGCUGCCGCCGCGGGUCACCAGAAGCGCCCGCAAAACGUAGAAGGAGAGUUCUUCGUCGGUAAAUUCUACUCAGUUGCGCGGUUACUUUAGGGUCUGGACGUUGAUUGGGUUGGGUUGGGUUAUCCGAUAGAAGCUGCUAGCCGUGAGGAGGAAAGGGUGAAGGCGCUCCAGGUGAAUUUAAUCGCGUAGAUUUCCUUUGGUUCCUUGCUUGGCCAAAACGUUCUUGGGCUAGGAAUUUGGUUUGCGGGACAAAGUCUGGACGAUUCCAUUUAUUUGGUAGCAGCAGUAUAAAUUCAUGAAGAACUUGACAAGAAAUAAGCUAAAUAAAACAGAUAUUUCUCAUGGUUAUCUCAUUGUACUCAAAUAAGUUCAGCAACCACAUUAUCAACAUUUGUUUGGUAAUGAUCUCUAGGUUUCUGGUAAAGUAAGUUGGAUUAUGGCAUAGCUAAAACCAUUGUUUCCUUUAGGACCAUUUUGAUGAGAUUUUUUGCUUUUUUUUGGUGCUUUUCAGACCUUCACAUUUGGUGAACUUACCUAGUUUGAAAACUUCUCUUGAUUUGGAUGUUAUUCGAAUUGUGUCUCAAAAGAAUCUCCUCUAAUCAAUAUUCCGAUUUAAACAAGUUGGUGGUCAAACAGUGUUGAAUACAUGUGGGAGUAAUUAUGCUCUUUUAUCAUAGUCUUCCUAAUAUUAUAGGGUAUUUCAUUCUUUGUCAUCAUUAGCUAAAAUUAGUCGAGCAAAUUUCUGCAGAUUGAUUUAGUAAUUCAAGGGCAUAAAUUAUCCCAUUUUGUAUACAGGUAGAUAUAGUAGUCAAGCAUGUGUAUGCCAUUUGCAGCUUUUUUUUUGUUCUCCAUUUGCAGCUUUUAUCAUCAGCAUUAUCGAAGUACAGUGUCCAUGCUUCAUCUCUGACUUAGGUGUUAGACUUUCUUAACUCAGCUAUACAAGUACAGAUUAGUUGUUUGGCGUUAUUUCGACCUCGGCUAAAAGGAUGAUCAUAGGUGGUUUAUUAAACCGCCUCUUGUGAUAUGUUUCUUUUGAUGAUCGGUCAUAAAAAUACAAAUGCAGUUUCUAUUAUUUGUUUUGAGAUUCUGAGGUGUCCUUUUCUGAUAUGCAUAACAUAUUUUCAUAGUUGUUCCAGCAUUAGAAAUCUGUUGAUAAUUACCAUCUAUGUGAGUCAUAGGCUUUCUAGAUUUAUAGCAAUUGAUAGUUUUAACAGGACAAACACUCGUAGGAGAAUCUAAUUAGACCCGCCAACUUUUUAAGCUGCAAAUAUCAUUCAGUAUUAAAUGGUUAUUUUUUAAGUCUAAUAUCAUUUUUAAACAUUGUUCUAGGUUAAGUUUGUUUGACAAUCUACUCUGUAGUUGAACAUACUACUACUGCAUGCAAUACUUACGUGGAGAACAUUUACCUGAUUAGUGCUUUUAUGGUCCUCAAACAUGCUUCUUCUCCAACUUUUCCAGGGUUCAGUCUGUUUGUACCACAAACCACUGGAGGUCUUGUUCACCGGGGAUCAUCUCGCAAGUUCAGAACAAUCUCUUCUUGAGAUUGGUGAGUUUUAUAACAGGCAAUCAGUGAGCUUGCAAUCGAGGAGUGUCAGGAAACUACUAGACAUUGGUUUUGUGUGGAUCUUACCUGGUCACGGGCGGAGGAUUGCAUUUAGAGAUAACCAAGAGAAAAUUUUGAGCUCUAGAAGCUUUCUUGGCUAACAAAGAGCCACCGUUUGCACAACAUUAGAAGACAUGUCAGUGUUGCAUGAGGGGGCAUCAUCUGAACUGCAUCAGGAUAACUCUGAUUUGUCUGGUAGACUAUAGUUGUUCAGAAUCACUUUGAAUGUUUGAUGCAAGAAGGGAAGAGAGCAGAAGACAUUUCUCUCUCGGGAGAAUUAUGCCAUUCAUGUUCAGUUGUGGUGUUGACGGCACUGAUGGUGGUCGGGAUUCUCUGGGUUUCUCCUGUUGUUGGUACAGAAAGCAUUUCUCAAUCUUCACCAUCUUUUUGUCAUCAAGAAUUCUUGAAACUUCUUUUGGUUAAUUAGGAGGAUGAGGAUAUAAAAAAUUUGUAUACGCCAAAAAGAAAUGUUCUUGAUAGUAGGCCACUACUUUUGUUGAUAUAGCCCAUUUGCUCGUGUAAAGCAUUGCUAGUGAUGCCAACAUUUCGGUUAAUUAUUUCCUUUUUUACUUUAGCAAUGAAUAUUAGUAUUCAUAUAUA